rfam:Firmicutes bacterium CAG:882 genomic scaffold, scf109
UUUGGAAGAAGCUUAGUUGUUCUUAGGGCUCUGUUUAUCGUACAGCCACAGACGGCAUGGAUGCCGGCUGAGUUGCAGACAGCCAUGGAGGGCUGAUUCUGCAACGGUGGCGGAAACAGAAAUACUUUUUCAGAACCCUUAGAACAACUUGCUUCGCACAAC